rnacentral:misc_RNA from 1 species
AGCAGCCGCGGUAAUUCCAGCUCCAAUAGCGUAUAUUAAAGUUGUUGCAGUUAAAAGCUCGUAGUUGAAUUUCGGGAUUGACACAUCGGUCGUGCCUUAAGGGGUAUGAACUGGUGUAGUCAAUUUCUCACCUUCUGGAGAACCGCGAUGCCCUUAAUUGGGUGUCGCGGGGAACCAGGACCUUUACUUUGAAAAAAUUAGAGUGUUUAAAGCAGGCAUUUUGCUUGAAUACAUUAGCAUGGAAUAAUAAAAUAGGACGGCAUGAUUCUAUUUUGUUGGUUUCUAGGAUCACCGUAAUGAUUAAUAGGGAUAGUUGGGGGCAUUAGUAUUCAAUUGUCAGAGGUGAAAUUCUUGGAUUUAUUGAAGACUAACUACUGCGAAAGCAUUUGCCAAGGAUGUUUUCAUUAAUCAAGAACGAAAGUUAGGGGAUCGAAGACGAUCAGAUACCGUCGUAGUCUUAACCAUAAACUAUGCCGACUAGGAAUCAGACGAUGUUUAAUUUUUUAAU